AAUUUUUCAAAUACGGGGAAAAGAAACCAACAGGGAUUGCCUCAGUAACGGCGAGUGAAGCGGCAAAAGCUCAAAUUUGAAAUCUAGCACCUUCGGUGUUUGAGUUGUAAUUUGAAGAUGGUAACCUUGGGUUUGGCUCUUGUCUAUGUUCCUUGGAACAGGACGUCAUAGAGGGUGAGAAUCCCGUCUGAUGAGAUGCCCAUUCCUAUGUAAGGUGCUAUCGAAGAGUCGAGUUGUUUGGGAAUGCAGCUCUAAGUGGGUGGUAAAUUCCAUCUAAAGCUAAAUAUUGGCGAGAGACCGAUAGCGAACAAGUACAGUGAUGGAAAGAUGAAAAGAACUUUGAAAAGAGAGUGAAAAAGUACGUGAAAUUGUUGAAAGGGAAGGGCAUUAGAUCAGACUUGGUGUUUUACGAUUAUCUUCUCUUCUUGAGUUGUGCACUCGUAUUUCACUGGGCCAGCAUCGAUUCGGAUGGCAAGAUAAUGGCAGUUGAAUGUGGCUUCACUUCGGUGGAGUGUUAUAGCUUCUGCUGAUAUUGCCUGUCUGGAUCGAGGGCUGCGUCUUUUGACUAGGAUGCUGGCGUAAUGAUCUAAUGCCGCCCGUCUUGAACCCCCGGGACCAAGA
rnacentral:rRNA from 1 species